rnacentral:rRNA from 1 species
UACGUAGGGUGCGAGCGUUAAUCGGAAUUACUGGGCGUAAAGCGUGCGCAGGCGGUGAUGUAAGACAGAUGUGAAAUCCCCGGGCUCAACCUGGGAAUUGCGUUGGAGACUGCAAGGCUGGAGUCUGGCAGAGGGGGUAGAAUUCCACGUGUAGCAGUGAAAUGCGUAGAGAUGUGGAGGAACACCGAUGGCGAAGGCAGCCCCCUGGGUCAAGACUGACGCUCAUGCACGAAAGCGUGGGGAGCAAACAGG